rnacentral:rRNA from 1 species
GGAAUUGACGGAAGGGCACCNCNAGAAGUGAANCUGCGGCUUAAUUUGACUCAACACGGAAAAACUCACCCGGCCCGGACACUAUGAGGAUUGACAGAUUGAUAGCUCUUUCUUGAUUUGGUGGUUGGUGGUGCAUGGCCGUUCUUAGUUGGUGGAGCGAUUUGUCUGGUUAAUUCCGAUAACGAACGAGACUCCAGCCUGCUAAUUAGUGCACUCGUCCACUGUGCCUGUGAUGNCGGCGUUUGGCGAGGCUGCCCCUAUUCGCCGAAUCGGUGUGGCUUGCCCUUACGGGUAGGCUGCUAAGAGGAGGUUGGGACGGCUGGUUCAGCGUUAGCUUCCGGGUACGGCGCGGGUGUUUACUUCUUAGAGGGACAAGCGGGAGAAGCCGCACGAAAUUGAGCAAUAACAGGUCUGUGAUGCCCUUAGAUGUCCGGGGCCGCACGCGCGCUACAAUGACGGUGGCAACGAGUCUGACCUUCUGGCCCGAAAGGGUUGGGCAAACUGGUCAAUCACCGUCAUGACAGGGAUCGGGGCUUGGAAUUGUUCCCCGUGAACGAGGAAUUCCUAGUAAGUGCAAGUCAUAAGCUUGCGCUGAUUACGUCCCUGCCCUUUGUACACACCGCCCGUCGCUACUACCGAUUGAAUGGUUUAGUAAGGUCCUUGGAUUGGCGCCAUUGUGGUGGUGGCCGAAAGGUUAUUACCCGACCGGUGCUGAGAAGACGACCAAACUUGAUCAUUUAGAGGAAGUAAAAGUCGUAACAAGGGGUUUUCG